GUGGACUGGUCCCCAAGAAGCCUCCACUGGCCACUGUGAUUGUAUUAGGAGAUGUGGGUUAAAGAGAGGAAAAGUCAAAGAAUCCUCAGAUCAGUGGAUCCCUGCUGCAAAGGCCCAGCCUUCUCCUCGAUGCUGAAUGCUGGUACUGUGGACCAAGUCAGAGUUCUCCAGAGAACCUCGUUGGACCGAGCCUCACCUCUCCUAGAUCCUGUAACCAACUCUUUUUGCUUGUUGUAAGCUAACUCAAAAAUAAACCCCUUUUGACAAUCAGAUAAA